CCUACGGGAGGCAGCAGUGAGGAAUAUUGGUCAAUGGGCGCGAGCCUGAACCAGCCAAGUAGCGUGAAGGAUGACUGCCCUACGGGUUGUAAAUUUCUUUUAUAAAGGAAUAAAGUGAGGCACGUGUGCCUUUUUGUCUGUACUUUAUGAAUAAGGAUCGGCUAACUCCGUGCCAGCAGCCGCGGUAAUACGGAGGAUCCGAGCGUUAUACGGAUUUAUUGGGUGUAAAGGGAGCGUAGAUGGGUUGUUAAGUCAGUUGUGAAAGUUUGCGGCUCAACCGUAAAAUUGCAAUUGAUACUGGCAGUCUUGAGUACAGUUGAGGUAGGCGGAAUUCGUGGUGUAGCGGUGAAAUGCUUAGAUAUCACGAAGAACUCCGAUUGCGAAGGCAGCUUACUAAACUGCCACUGACAUUGAUGCUCGAAAGUGUGGGUAUCAAACAGGAUUAGAUACCCGAGUAGUC
rnacentral:rRNA from 1 species